rnacentral:sRNA from 1 species
GUGUAUCUGGGGACCUAUCCUCAGGCUCCUCUGUGUACCAGCUUAACUCCAAACCCACAGGGGCUGACCUGCUGGAAGAGCAUCUUGGUGAAAUCCGGAACCUGCGCCAGCGCCUGGAGGAGUCCAUCUGCAUCAAUGACCGCCUACGGGAGCAAUUGGAACACCGGCUGAGCUCUACUGCUCGUGGAAGCGGAUCCACUUCUAACUUCUACAGUCAGGGCCUGGAGUCCAUACCUCAGCUCUGCAAUGAGAACAGAGUCCUCAGGGAAGAAAAUCGAAGACUUCAGGCUCAACUGAGUCAUGUUUCCAGAGAGCACUCCCAGGAAACGGAAAGCCUGAGAGAGGCUCUGCUGUCCUCUCGAUCCCACCUUCAAGAGCUGGAAAAGGAGCUGGAGCACCAGAAGGUGGAAAGGCAGCAGCUUUUGGAAGACUUGAGGGAGAAGCAGCAAGAGGUCUUGCAUUUCAGGGAGGAACGUCUUUCCCUCCAGGAAAACGACUCCAGGCUUGGGUUUGGAUACUUCUCCAGUAUUGAAGACCCCUCCCAAG